GUAUGGGAUCUCAGAGCUUUCCUUACUAAAGCCAUGGCUUUAGUUUCAAACGUCUGACAAAAAUCAUGAAAAUGUUUAAAAUAUCAGCAUCAUAUUCCCUCAGGUGUAGGGACAAAAAAUAAUCAAUUAUGAAGGACGUCAUCUGCAGAGGAAUCCUGUGAAGUCAUCCAUCCAGUCAGCAGAUCAAGGAGGCUUGUUGGCUUGUUCACAUAGCACGGAUCAUCUUGUCAACAAGAUUAUUUGAAGAUUGGAAAAAAAAAAAUCAAAAGGACGUUAUGAGAGAAACCAUGAUGGGCCUGAAUAGUAGAUUCUGUUCUACUUUAAGAUUGAUUCCAAUCACCAACCGUCAGAUUGUCCAUCUCUAAAAACAACCUGUUCUUUAAUUGCUUUUUGUACAUCUGCUGACCAUCAUCUACAUGAAAUACAUAUGAAUAUUGUUUCUCUUACAGACAAUAGCAAAUAUAAUGCAGUCAGUGUUGAAAUCUAGGACUUCCUGAUACUUGUCGUCACAUCAGCCUAUAUGCUGAUGACACUGAUGUGUUUUCUUUGAAAGGUGGUCUUUUGCCCCUAAAUAUACCAAAUAACAAUCUCAGCAAACUGAAAUUAUUCCACUUGAUGUAGUUGAAACAGUUCACAGCUUUCAGUAGACUAGUAUUCAUUUCAACUUAGAACAAUGUACUCAAUAUAACUGGUAAAAUGAAUUUUAAUGAUUGCAUGUAAAUAAUACAGAUGAUUCAUGAAGGCAACUAGUCAGAAUGUGGAGUAGUGCAUGUAUUUUAGUAAUUAUCAUCAACAGGCCUGAUGCUGGUAUCACAAAUGAUUAAUAUAAGCAGGCAGUGAGUAAAUGAGUCAAACAGCGAUCAGUUACAUUCAGUCAGAAGGUAAAACUCUCACCUUGUUUGUGAAUGUUUGGUGUCACUGCUGAAUAAUGGAGGAAAUUCUCUGGACUGCUCACUCUUCGCAGACUUGAAGCUGAUCGUUGAAGAUGCUGAACCUCUCUCAGAUCCACUUUCACUCAUCUUCUGGUCUUCAGCGUGUCUACAUAAAGGAUUAGUUUCAGUGACUGGUGGAUCGUCUCUGGAGCCGUCAGCCUUCACAGGCUUAAAGCCGACUGUUGAAGAUUCUGAUCCACUCAUCUUCAAGCCUUCAGUAAAUCUAUGAGAUAGAGAUCAAUAACACUUCAGAAUACAUCGAGCUUCACUGCACUCUAGAAAAAGCAUGAAGGAUUCAGACAUCAUGUGAUCUGAUAAUGUUUUUCUGUAGAAUUCAUGAAGUUUGUUUUUAAGAGACUCUGAAAUAAUAAAAAUAUAAAAUGUUUCCACCCUCAUAUACCACAUACAUUACAUCUGUAUAGACAAAAUAAUGAUACUCCUCCCAUGUACUUCUUAAAUAUGACCACCAGAUGGCAGUGCACACCUGAAUGCCAUCCUCAGAUAUCUGCAGGGGUUGAUAGGAGAUGGGAUCUCUGGACAUGCCUGUCUGUGGUGUCACACUUCAAUACAGUAACCUGAAAAUAUAUGGAAACAUGUUACUAUAACAAGAACAACUGUCAUCUAUGUGUCACGUGCAACAUUAAGCAAUUGUCAACACAAAGCUUUGUGAAAAAAGUUGGAGGGAAAAUACAUUCAUCAACAAAACAUGUUGAAAAAAGGAAAUUAUGCAAAAUAAGUGCAAAGAAAUCAA